rnacentral:rRNA from 1 species
UACGUAGGGUGCGAGCGUUGUCCGGAAUUAUUGGGCGUAAAGAGCUUGUAGGCGGUUUGUCGCGUCUGCUGUGAAAAUCCGGGGCUCAACCCCGGACUUGCAGUGGGUACGGGCAGACUAGAGUGUGGUAGGGGAGACUGGAAUUCCUGGUGUAGCGGUGAAAUGCGCAGAUAUCGGUAGGAACACCAGUGGCGAAGGCGGUUUCCUGGAGCUAACUUGACGCUGAGACGCGAAAGCUGGGGGAGCAAACAGG